UCUUUCUCUUCCUUAAAAGCUCAUGUCUUGGGAGUUGCGAUAGUUACUACUGGAUCAGAAGGCUGUAAACUGUCCCCAUCAAAGAUAGUGUUAUGGGAGGGGAAAAUAAAUAUCGUAUUCUCAGUGGUUCUCUGGCAGAUCUUAGAUGAAUAUUGAUGAAUGAUGUUGCAGAUUAUUAACAUUUAGUUAGCUGUAACAUCCUUGGACAAGUAUGAAUCAUGUGAAUGGAACAGUUGCAAUAAAAAUCCAUCUGGAGACUGAUAUCAUAAGAGAUGUCAGGAUGACAGGUACCCAUCCCCCCACCCCUAUGCACACACGCAUGGAAGGUAAAGUAUCGAUGGCUUAUUAUGAUUUAUGGUUCAUGCAUUUGGAGUAAAUACUGACGGGUAGCAUGUGAUGCCCAUGAGCCUAUGGAGUCGAGUAAGAGUGAAUGAGUUUCGUCAGCGCAUUUAUUCAGGCGAGGAAAAGAGCAGAUCACAGACACCGAGAGGCGAGAGAUGGGGAAAAUUUAUUUAUAUUACAGCUGUUUUAGCAGAGGAGAAGCUAAGGUUGUCCCUUGAACCAUAUGAUGAUGAGUUGAUGUUAUCCUAUCCCAAAGAAUUUAUUAUUGCUGCAGAAGAAGUUAUUAUGAGUGAUUGACUUUUGGUUAGUGUUAAGGCAUUUACCGUACUAUCAUUUUCUGGUAAACAAUGAAUGUAUUAUUUGUGUUUCUGACAUGAAAAAAGUUUUCAAUUUCAAGGGGACCCCUUC